rnacentral:lncRNA from 1 species
GAGGACGGUCGACAGUAGAAUCCCGAGAAUAUUUGGAGCAGCCUGAUAGAUGACUGAAGAAGCUCAUCGUUGGAGAAGUCCGGGAGAUGCGGCAGGGGUUCGUCCGUCGGGGGAACCUGGUCGACUCUUGCGGAAGAAGCUGUGGGAGUUUAUCCGUCAGCAGAACUUGGAAAUAUUGCGGAAGCUCAACCGUCGGAGAGGUUCGAAAAUAUGUCACUCAAGAUCGGACGC